rnacentral:rRNA from 1 species
AACGCGAAGAACCUUACCAGGUCUUGACAUCCAACUAACGAGGCAGAGAUGCGUUAGGUGCCCUUCGGGGAAAGUUGAGACAGGUGGUGCAUGGUUGUCGUCAGCUCGUGUCGUGAGAUGUUGGGUUAAGUCCCGCAACGAGCGCAACCCUUAUAUUUAGUUGCCAGCACUUCGGGUGGGCACUCUAAAUAGACUGCCGGUGACAAACCGGAGGAAGGUGGGGAUGACGUCAAAUCAUCAUGCCCCCUAUGACCUGGGCUACACACGUACUACAAUGGCCGGUACAACGGGCAGUGAAGCCGCGAGGUGGAACCAAUCCUAAAAAGCCGGUCUCAGUUCGGAUUGCAGGCUGCAACUCGCCUGCAUGAAGUCGGAAUUGCUAGUAAUCGCGGAUCAGCAUGCCGCGGUGAAUACGUUCCCGGGCCUUGUACACACCG